rnacentral:rRNA from 1 species
AACGAUCGCUGGCGGCAUGCCUAACACAUGCAAGUCGAACGAGACCUUCGGGUCUAGUGGCGCACGGGUGCGUAACGCGUCGGAAUCUGCCCUCUGGUACGGAAUAACUCAGGGAAACUUGAGCUAAUACCGUAUAAUGACUUCGGUCCAAAGAUUUAUCGCCUGAGGAUGAGCCCGCGUCGGAUUAGCUAGUUGGUGAGGUAAAGGCUCACCAAGGCGACGAUCCGUAGCUGGUCUGAGAGGAUGAUCAGCCACACUGGGACUGAGACACGGCCCAGACUCCUACGGGAGGCAGCAGUGGGGAAUAUUGGACAAUGGGCGAAAGCCUGUUCCAGCAAUGCCGCGUGAGUGAUGAAGGCCUUAAGGUUGUAAAGCUCUUUUACCCGGGAUGAUGAUGACAGUACCGGGAGAAUAAGCGCCGGCUAACUCCGUGCCAGCCGCCGCGGUAG